rnacentral:misc_RNA from 1 species
CGUCCGGACUGGCCGNGANANUACACAACUGNUCCUCAGGGCCGGAAAGCUCUCCAAACUCGGUCAUUUAGAGGAAGUAAAAGUCGUAACAAGGUCUCCGUUGGUGAACCAGNNNNGGAUCAUUACCGAGUUUACAACUCCCAAACCCCUGUGAACAUACCUACGUUGCUUCGGNGGACCACCCCAACCCCCUCGGNCGAGGGGCCGCCAGAGGACCCAAAACCCAACUGUUUUUUCCGUAACGAAACCUAUUCUGAGUGGAAUUAUUAAAUAAAUCAAAACUUUCAACAACGGAUCUCUUGGCUCUGGC